rnacentral:rRNA from 1 species
AGCGAGAGCAAAACACCCGGAUCCAUCCCGAACCCGGCCGUUAAGUGCCUUUGCGCCGAUGGUACUGCAUCUUAAGGUGUGGGAGAGUAGGUCACCGCCAAAC